rnacentral:rRNA from 1 species
GUGUCAGCCGCCGCGGUAAAACGUAGGAGACAAACGUUAUCCGGAGUUACUGGGCGUAAAGGGCGUGUAGGCGGUUUAUUAAGUUCGUCGUGAAAUAGCUCGGCUUAACCGGGCGGGGUCGAUGGAUACUGGUAGACUAGAGGACGGUAGAGGCGUGUGGAAUUCCGGGUGUAGUGGUGAAAUGCGUAGAUAUCCGGAGGAACACCAGUGGCGAAGGCGACACGCUGGGCCGUACCUGACGCUAAAGCGCGACAGCAUGGGGAGCGAACGGGAUUAGAAACCCGGGUAGUCC